UACGUAGGGUGCGAGCGUUGCCCGGAUUUAUUGGGCGUAAAGGGCGCGUAGGCGGCCACGCACGUCCGUUGUGAAAUCGCCCGGCUCAACUGGGCGGGGUCGGCGGAUACGGCGUGGCUGGAGCAAGCUAGGGGGCAAUGGAAUUCCCGGUGUAGUGGUGGAAUGCGUAGAUAUCGGGAGGAACACCAGUGGCGAAGGCGGUUGCCUGGAGCUUGCUGACGCUGAGGCGCGAAAGCGUGGGGAGCGAGUCCGG
rnacentral:rRNA from 1 species